rfam:Microgenomates (Gottesmanbacteria) bacterium GW2011_GWB1_43_11 TV61_C0009, whole genome shotgun sequence.
AAAUACUACUCAUAAGGCCAACAAUGGAUGCCUAGGCUUGUUUUGCCGAAGAAGGACGCAUAUGGCGGCGAUACUCGUCGGGGAGGAGCCAUACUCCUGUGAUCCGGCGGUUUCCGAAUGGGGAAACCCUCCCGAUUUUAUCGGGAAACUUGUUGUAAAAGUGCUUCGCACAAGGGGUUCGAAGUUUAAAGAUCGAAGCUCGAAGUGCAUAAGGAUAUUUAUAAAAUAAUUCCUUGUAAACUAUGAACUUUGAACUAAUAACUUCUAACUUCUCGUGCGGAGCAUUAUAGCGACAAGUAGGUAAGUGGGUGAACUGAAACAUCUAAGUAACCCGAGGAAAAUAAAUCAUUUGAGAUUCCGUCAGUAGCGGCGAGCGAAAGCGGAAAAGUCUAAACCACGGCGCAAGUCGUGGGGUUGUAGGGCAGACGAUAUGGGAGUAGAAAAGGUAGCAGAACUGCUCGGAAUAGCAGACCACAGAGCGUGAAAGUCGCGUACGCAAAACUUUUUCUACCUCUAGUUUGUUCCUAAGUACCAUGGGAUACGCAAAAGCCCGUGGGAAGCUAGGGAGGCCACUCUCUAAGACUAAAUACAAAACAAGACCGAUAGUGAACGAGUACCGUGAGGGAAAGGUGAAAAGCACCCCGGAAGGGGAAUGAAAUAGUACCUGAAAUUGUUGGCUAACAAACAAUCGAAGGGCGCAGCCCUUCGAAUUUAAAAAUCAAAAAUCAAAAAUCAAAAUGAAAAAAGGAGUCGCUACGCGACUAUUAAAAGUUUUCCUUAUACAAUUUUGACUUUUACAUUUUACAUUUUGAAUUCGGAAGGCUGUGCCUGACGAUGUGCCUAUUGAAGAAUGAACCGGUGAGUUAAUUGACGUUGCGUUAGCUUAAGCUAUUUUAAUAGCGAAAGCGCAGUGAAAGCGAGGGUUAAUUGCCCGUGUCCCGCUCUGCGGGACGUGUAACGUCUCAGAGUUACAAAUCUGUGAGAUGACUUGUGGUUAGGGGUAAUAUGCCUAUCGAACCCAGAGAUAGCUGGUUCUCCCCGAAAUAUAUUUAGGUAUAGCUUUUGGGUAUUAACUUCCAGGGGUAGAGCACUGGAUGGGGUUGGUUGCGCAAGCAACCGGCUUCAAUCAAACUCCGAAUACUGGAAAGAAGCCCAAAAUGUCAGAGAUAUACGGCUAAGCGCGUGUCUCGAGAGGAAAACAGUCCAGAUUUCCAUCUAAGGCCUCUAAAUGAUUGUUAAGUGGUUAAGGAAGUCCAAAACUUAAAACACCCAGGAGGUUGGCUUAGAAGCAGCCAUCCUUUAAAGAAAGCGUAACAGCUCACUGGCCGAAGUUUUGGGCGCCGAAAAUGAUCGAGGCUCAAACAAUCUGCCGAAGAUGAAGACUCUUGUCCGUAGGACAAGAAUGUCAAAGCUCAAAUAUCAAAUGUCAAAUCAAAUCCAAAGUUCAAAACUAUAAUUUUGAAUUUUGAAAUUUAAGUAUUGAUUUGUCAUUUGGAUUUAGUCAUUUGUCAUUCUCGCCCUGCGGAUGAGAUUGGUAGGGGAGCGUUCCCAUAGCAGUGAAGCCCAGACCGUAAGGUUAGGUGGAGCGAUGGGAAGUGAGAAUGCCGGUAUGAGUAGCGUUUGCAGGUGUGAAUCCUGCAUGCCGCAUGUCCAAGGUUUCCGAAGCAACGUUCGUCGACUUCGGGUAAGUCGGAUCUAAGGCGAGUCCGCCAACUGGCGGAGUAGCUCGAUGUAUAUGCCGUUGAUAAUCGGCAACUUUAUGUUCACGAUCAAAACACUAAGGGUUAACAAAGAGAGAUGAGUCUGGCCUCAUACUAAUGUUGGGGUCUAAGCUGUGAAGCAGUUCUGAUUGGGAAAUCCGUCGGAGUGUUUAACUGAGCAGCAAAUGCGAUUCCGCGAGAGAUCAAGGGAGAGUAGAAAUCCAUUUUUCUUUCAAGAAAAAAUUCGUGGUGAGUGAAUGUAAAUCCGUACCGCAAACCGACACUGGUGGACUGGUAGAGUAUACCAAGGCAAUCGGGAGAAAGUGGUUCAAGGAACUCGGCAACAAAAACUAGGCGUAAGCUAUGCAAGAUGCCUUCCCUCGAUUAUUCGAGGGCGCAGUUAACGAUGUUAAGCGACUGUUUAACUAAAACACAGCUCUCUGCAAAGCCGAAAGGCAAAGUAUAGGGGGUGACACCUGCCCAAUGCUCGUAGGUUAAGCGUGGAGUCUAAGAUUAUAUCAAGGGUUUUACGCAAGCCCGAGUGAAUGGCAGCAGUAACUAUGAUCCUUUGAAAGGAGUUGUAGUUGUAAAAUAUGGCUAUUUGCUGGAACGUCCCAUGUAUCUGAAACUACUGGAUAAAUUCAAAAUGCAAAAGUCAAAAAUCAAAAUGACAAUGCAAAAUUUAAAAUUUAUUCAGUAAAAAUGUUUCAGUGGGGAUAAUCAGCAGGCAACCUCGAUUUUAUCGAGAAGUCCUCAGAGACUAUACGCCAUACUCUUAUGUCAUUCCCGCGAAAGCGGGAAUCUAAUUCAAAAAAAGAUCCUCGCAUGCGCAAGGAUGACAAAAAGAGAUGAUAUAGUCCGACCUCAUAAGCGAUUAUGAGAGACGUAUCCAAUCGUCUUUAUAACAAUGUGAACUGUUCUAUGGUAGCGAAGUUCCUUGUCGGGUAAGUUCCGACCCGCACGAAAGGUAGAACGACUUAACAACUGUCUUGAACCAUUACCCGGCGAAAUUGAAUUGGCUGUGAAGAUGCGGCCUACACACACAUGGACAAAAAGACCCCGUGGAGCUUUACUGCAACUUGACACUGACGAUGCGUUUUUAACUGUCGAGGGUAGGAGGGAGGUUCGACGCAAGUCGGACCAACGAUGGAACACCUCUCUUUGGAAACGUUGACUCUAACCGCAAUAGCCGCAUAAAAAUCCGGCUGCGGAACACUGUCUGGUGGGCAGUUUAACUGGGGAGGUUGACUCCAAAAUUGUAACGGAGUCGUACAAAGGUUGGCUAAGCGCGGAUGGAAAUCGCGCGGGUCGUACAAAGGCACAAGCCAGCUUGACUGCGAGACGUACAUGUCGAGCAGGGUCGAAAGACGGUCUUAGUGAUCCCCGCAUGCGCAGUGGUUGCGCGGCGGGCUUAACGGAUAAAAGCUACCCCGGGGAUAACAGGCUGAUCGCAUCCGAGCGUCCACAGCGACGAUGCGGUUUGGCACCUCGAUGUCGGCUCUCUGCAAUGUGCAGAGUGGGCCCCUUAUCUAGUAAUAGGUGAGGUAAAUUUAGCUCAUAACGGUGGAGCCCUUAAUACGCACUUCUUUGCUAUAAUAGCUGUGUAUGGGUAAUACCGUGGGAAGUCGAGGAGUUUUAACAAGUAAACAAAAGGAAAUAAUAAUUGGAACUUUAUUGGGAGAUGGUCAUUUGGAGAAAAACGGGAAACAUACUCGUUUGCGCGUAGAUCAUUACAACAAACAUAAAAAGUAUGUUUUUUGGUUAGCAAAAGAACUGAUUCCUUUCUCUUUGAAACCUCGUGCAAUUAACGAGACGGAUAAAAGAAGCGGAAAAGUAUAUUCUAGAUGGCAUAUCUCAACCAAAAGUCUUCAGCUAUUUGAUGAGUUUCGAGCGUUAUUUUAUAGAGGAAGGAUAAAAAUAGUUCCUCGUAAUCUUGAAGCACUUAUUACCCCUUUGUCACUUGCGAUUUGGUAUAUGGAUGACGGUUUUCGAAGGAAAGAUUCCAAGGGAUUUUAUCUUUGCACCUCAUCGUAUACCCAGGAAGAACACAAAGUAUUACAAGAAGUAUUGUUUAAACGUUUUAUGAUACUUACGAAGGUUCAUCAUCAACGUGAGUAUUUAAGAAUGUUUAUACCUUCAGCUUCUGCGAAUACUUUUAAUGGUUUAAUUAAGCCAUAUGUUCUCCCAGAUUUAAAUUAUAAACUCCUCUGACCCCGUAACGACUUUUCAUUAGUCAGUUGAUUAAUGAAAGAUCUUGUUAGUUUUCUAUUUUUUAGAAAACUGCUUGAUAACACGCUAAACUCCCGAUUCAAUCGGGAUGAUGGUAUAGUCUAACCCUCAUGGAAACAUGAGAUAAGUUGCAUCCUAUCCUGGGGGUGGAGAAGCUCCCAAGGGUCCGGCUGUUCGCCGGUUAAAAGGGUACGCGAGCUGGGUUCAGAACGUCGUAAUUGUUUAUUGCGACCUUCAGUGGUAACAUUGAAGUUAAAUUUGGCUAAUAACGGUGGAACCCUCCUUUCUUGACUGAACGGAAGAGGGUAAUACCGUGGGAAGACGAAGUAUUGUGGUUGAAAAAACAAGAGCAUAUAUUGCUGGUUUUCUUGAUGGAGAUGGGUCUAUUUUUCUUCAAUUAAUAAGAAGAAAAGACUAUGUAUUUGGAUUUCAAAUACGCGCAAGUUUAGUAUUUUAUCAAAAGAAAUCACAGAAAAAAAUUCUUAGAUGGUUGAUACAUAAACUACGCAGCGGUUACAUCCGCGACAGAAAUGAUGGAAUGUGUGAAUACACGAUAGUAGGAUUAGGAAAUGUAAAGAAAGCCUUAGAGGAAGUAGAACCAUACCUUAUUCUUAAAAGAAAACAAGCAAAAUUAGCUUUGCGAAUUAUUUCGCGAUUAGAAGGAACGACGAGAACAUCAGGUUUUCUUCUUCGGAUCGCAAAAGAAGUAGAUAAGUUUGCAGAGCUUAACUAUUCAAAGAAACGUGUUAAUGAUACAAACACAUUAAGAAAAUUUUUUCAACAAAAUGCUUCUGUCCCCGUAUCGACUGAUUCCUGAUUUUUCAGGAUGAGAUAGCUAGACCUAUAAUUUAGGAUGCUAUCAUACGCCAACUCCUUCAUGGUGAAGGAAGAAGAUAUAGUCAGUACUUCUAGAAAUAGAAGAAUGCAAAGAACAGAAACUUUGCUAGGAUAAAUAUCCUAUAAUACGAAGACAGUUCGGUCUCUAUCCUGUGUGUGCGUUGGAUAUUUGAGGGGAGUCGCCCGUAGUACGAGAGGACCCGGGUGAACGAAUCCCUGGUGUGCCAGUUGUCGGAAUUUCCGGCAUCGCUGGGUAGCCACAUUCGGACGGGAUAAGCGCUGAAAGCAUCUCAAGCGCCAAGCCCACCCCAAGAUGAGAUAUCCUUAUAAACCCCUAGUAGACUACUAGGUUAAUAGGCUGGAGGUGAAAGACCCGUAAGGGUUUAAGCUGACCAGUACUAAUCGGUUAAGAGUAGAUUUUAU